rnacentral:rRNA from 1 species
AUUGAACGCUGGCGGCAUGCCUUACACAUGCAAGUCGAACGGCAGCACGGGAGCAAUCCUGGUGGCGAGUGGCGAACGGGUGAGUAAUAUAUCGGAACGUGCCCAGGAGUGGGGGAUAGCCCGGCGAAAGCCGGAUUAAUACCGCAUGAGACCUGAGGGUGAAAGCGGGGGAUCGCAAGACCUCGCGCUAUUGGAGCGGCCGAUAUCAGAUUAGCUAGUUGGUGGGGUAAAGGCCUACCAAGGCAACGAUCUGUAGUUGGUCUGAGAGGACGACCAGCCACACUGGGACUGAGACACGGCCCAGACUCCUACGGGAGGCAGCAGUGGGGAAUUUUGGACAAUGGGCGCAAGCCUGAUCCAGCAAUGCCGCGUGCAGGAAGAAGGCCUUCGGGUUGUAAACUGCUUUUGUCAGGGAAGAAAUCCCUUGGGAUAAUACCUCGGGGGGAUGACGGUACCUGAAGAAUAAGCACCGGCUAACUACGUGCCAGCCGCCGCUGUAACAC